GACGAACGCUGGCGGCGUGCUUAACACAUGCCAGUCGAACGGAAAGGCCCUGCUUUUGUGGGGUUCUCGAUUGGCGAACGGGUGAGUAACACGUGAGUAACCUGCCCUUGACUUUGGGAUAACUUCAGGAAACUGGGGCUAAUACCGGAUAGGAGCUCCUGCUGCAUGGUGGGGGUUGGAAAGUUUCGGCGGUUGGGGAUGGACGCGCGGCUUAUCAGCUUGUUGGUGGGGUAGUGGCUUACCAAGGCUUUGACGGGUAGCCGGCCUGGGAGGGUGACCGGCCACAAUGGGACUGAGAUACGGCCCAGAAGCCAACGGGAGGCAGCAGUGGGGAAUAUUGCACAAUGGGAGGAAGUCUGAUGCAGAAACGCCGCGUGCGGGAUGACGGCCUUCGGGUUGUAAACCGCUUUAGCCUGUGACGAAGCGUGAGUGACGGUAAUGGGUAAAGAAGCACCGGCUAACUACAUG
rnacentral:rRNA from 1 species